rnacentral:rRNA from 1 species
GAUGAACGCUGGCGGCGUGCCUAAUACAUGCAAGUCGAGCGAAGCGGGGACGGGUGAGUAACACGUGGAUAACCUCCUAUAAGACUGGGGUAACUUCGGGAAACAGGAGCUAAACAGGAUAUUUAUAGAUGGAUCCGCGUUGCAUUAGCUAGUUGGUAAGGUAACGGCUCACCAAGGCAACGAUGCAUAGCCGGCCUGAGAGGUUGAGCGGCCACACUGGAACUGAGACACGGUCCAGACUCCUACGGGAGGCAGCAGUAGGGAAUCUUCCGCAAUGGGCGAAAGCCUGACGCAGCCACGCCGCGUGAGUGAUGAAGGUCUUCGGAUCGUAAAACUCUGUUAGUAGGGAAGCGUUACCUAAUCAGAAAGCCACGGCUAACUACGUGCCAGCAGCCGCGGUAAUAC